CCUCUUGUGAGGGAGUGCCCUAGCUUUUAAUCUGCUCAGCAAAGUGGUUCACUACUCCCUUUUUCAGAUUAUAGAUACCAUCUGUGUCUGCUUUGCUGUCUGCUGAACUCUGUGCUUCAUCUGCGGGUUUCUAAUUGGGUAUCCUCUGAACAAAGUCCCACAGCUCAUUUUGCUCAGCACCCAACAUCAGUCAUCUUUAGACGUGCAUCCAAGCCACUGCCAGAGAUCUCAGAGAGCAGGAAGGAAAUGUUCCUGAGGAGCACAGGGGAAAGGAAGAGGAUCUGGAACAUGAAUUUGAGGCAGAGAAUUGGAGGAAGUAGCUGGGGAAGAUGAACACCUGGCACAGUAAUUGAAGUUCAUAACAUGAUUUUACAUGUGAACAUCAAAUCUGCACUAAAUAUUCUGCACCAAUAUUCAAUAUUCAAAUAUUCAGAAUUUCAGCAACAGAUGUAACUGAACUACCAAAGCUUCUGAGACCAGAUUCAAGAUGUCUUCCUUCUGCUCUAGAUUUAUUUACUUUCCAACAUCCCUUCUCUCUCACUGGAGGCACAAGUCUAAGAAAAGUGAUGGCCACAGAAGAAAGAUGUUAGCAGCAGCAGGAAGAAGAUGGAUGCAAGAUGCGGGUUGGACAAAACUUCAAAGCAAAAACAUAUGCACUCACCCUCUUAUCUCCUUUCUCCUUUAUCUCUUGCUUCAAACACCACCAACUGUAUAAGGUCUGUCAGUGUACAUUAAAAAAUCAGUGAAAAUGCCUAGGUCUAUAGAGUCCUGGGGAAAAGAAUAGUAUCACUUCAACCACAUGAAUGCAUCAUUAAUCAAGUAGUAUAAAAGUACUGGAUUUACAAAGUUGUCCUUUUUCUCCAGCCAUGCUGGAUUUUAUCACUUCCAACAGGUGGGGCAUGACAAAAGAAAAGAACAAGGUCUUUGGAUUAUCAGAGCUCACUGUCAGUAAUUGUGAGGACUGCAAGGAUUGAUAAUAUCAUGGGCUGGGCAUCCAAUUCAGAUAUCUGAGUGCAGAGCUGGUUUUUACUCCUGCAUGUGCUGAGGAAGAGCCUUAAGGGAGUUGUACAAAGGCAGGCUCAAAACAUUGCCCUUCCCUGCCACACACUUCAUGGCCCAAAACUGGAGGGGAACUAACGAAUGCUAUAAAUAAAGAAAAAUAAAUACAAAAAGACUAAAAGAGGUUACAGUAAAGCAGAAAUUGGAAACAGGCAUAAGUCAAAAAACAAGCAACAGUCUAAGUACAGACAGGCUGGCAUCACGUCAAGCUAUGGGACAUAAAAUAAUUUAAGGCAUUCACCUUUAAAAAGAAGUCGUAAAAAUGCACUGGUUGUAUCAACAACUUAAGCCCUUCUACAGAAUAAAAUCUCUGUUUGCUUUUCUUUCCCCUAUUCUCUUUUUUCAUACAUCUUGCAUUUCCCUCAGGUCCUAUUCCUCACAGAUAAAUUUUCUUCCUGCUCGGAAAUGCAUUAUUUAGAGUACUUAAGCCCAGGGUUUUUUUUAAAUUAUACUGAUAAGCAAUGGUAUUUUUCUGGGUCUUUGACAAGGGGUGACAUUUUUAAAAUAAUACUAAGUUAAUGCAACACAAAAUUUUGCACAAUUGUUUCUACUGUAAUAUGUCUCAAAAUAACAGCAAGACAGUUAAAAGUAUAAAAACCUCUGAAGAGAUAAAAGUGCUUUAACUUUGCCAUCUAUAAAGAUGAACAAUUAAGAAAAACUAAUCUAUGAAAAUGAGGUUACCAUAAAACAGCCCAGAAUAGUUAAAGUGAACAUUUUUUGUUAAAUGGGAAUAAAAUAUUGUUGAAAAUUAUUUAAAGAAAUAAAAACAAACACAACUUUUUAAAAUCACAGAAAACAUAAAUGGUAUUGGCUUUGUCCCAAGUAGAAACAAGCUAAAAUAUCCAUGUGGUCAUAAAGAUUUUCCAGAAUCUCCAUGAAACUGUGAAGUGAGUCACAAGGAGGAUUUUCCUGAUGCAACUAUGUAUAAAUAGCUUAAAUAAAGUAAGCAAAGGAGUUAAUUCUGGCACAAGAGGUCUGCUUUGAGUUAUUAAGAAGUUACUCUCUCUUCAUGUAUCACUCUCAAUUUAAAUCAAUGAAUACUACAGCUCAAACCACCAGAGAGGAGUAAAACUUGGGACUGGUAACUUCUUACCUCAUUCCCAGUCACAGACUUUGGGCUUCUGGGAAUGUCCUCUGCCCUUUCUUGGCUCAGCACCAUUCAACCCAUCUGCCUGCCCCACUGCCUUCCUACCCCUUCUGCCCACUGAGGAAAAUGGAGGUGUAGCUAGGUAGUUGAGAAAGAUA